rnacentral:rRNA from 1 species
GCACAAGCGGUGGAGUAUGUGGUUUAAUUCGAUGCAACGCGAAGAACCUUACCUGGUCUUGACAUCCCGGAGACCCUUAGGAACUAGGGGUGCUUCCAUCUGGAAGAAUCUGGAGACAGGUGCUGCAUGGCUGUCGUCAGCUCGUGUCGUGAGAUGUUGGGUUAAGUCCCGCAACGAGUGCAACCCUUGCCUUUAGUUGCCAGCAGUUCGGCUGGGCACUCUAAAGGGACUGCCGGUGUUAAACCGGAGGAAGGUGGGGAUGACGUCAAGUCCUCAUGGCCUUUAUGACCAGGGCUACACACGUACUACAAUGGCCGAUACAAAGGGCAGCGACACUGCGAGGUGAAGCCAAUCCCGUAAAAUCGGUCUCAGUCCGGAUUGGAGUCUGCAACUCGACUCCAUGAAGUUGGAAUCGCUAGUAAUCGUGGAUCAGCAUGCCACGGUGAAUACGUUCCCGGGCCUU